UACGUAGGUGGCAAGCGUUACUCGGAAUCACUAGGCGUAAAGCGCAGGUAGGCGGUUCGGUAAGUCUUUUGUGAAAGCUCCCGGCUCAACUGGGAGAGGUCAAAGGAAACUACCGGACUAGAGUGUGGUAGAGGAGACUGGAAUUCCCGGUGUAGCGGUGAAAUGCGUAGAUAUCGGGAGGAAUACCUAUGGCGAAAGCAGGUCUCUGGGCCAUCACUGACGCUGAGCUGCGAAAGCUAGGGGAGCAAACAGG
rnacentral:rRNA from 1 species